AUGGUUUACUACCCAGAACUCUUUGGGUCAGUCAAGAACCAUUUCCAAACAAGGACAUGGAGGGAAGGUUUCCUAAGGGAAGACUUCCUGUCCCAAAGAAAGUGAACCGCAAGAAGAACAAUGAGACAAACGCUGCCUCCCUGACUCCAAUGGGCAGCAGUGAACUCCGCUCCCCAAGAAUCAGUUACCUCUACUUUUUU
rnacentral:lncRNA from 1 species